AUCUCCACACCAGAGCCACGAGUUCCAGGUAGCUCUACAUUUGACACAAUUUCUCACCAUGCCAAAGAAAUCUCUUCUCCCAGGCCACAGCCAAAUGGAACCAUCUGCACCAUGAAGCUGAAGAUAAAGCCGCAGAAAGAUUGCUGUAUUGUGAGUGGAGAAGAGCCCUGCUUCUCUUCACUGGCUGAUGUGCAGACAUUUAUUAGUAAAUCUUCACGGCGGUCUAGGGAGCAUCCUCUGGAAUAUUUCAACUACAAAAGGCCUUUGACUGAGCGCUGUUCAUCGAGUCCAGCCCCGGCUUUGCAAAUAAACAGCUGACACCAAGAGAGGAGAAGCAACACGGCUGAGGCCACAGGGUGACAAAGCCUUAACAGGGGUGGUCUUUGGCCGGAGGAAGAAAUGGCUUUGUUGCUCAGGAGAGCUUUGGGAAUGGAACUCAGGGGCUUCCAAAGAGCAGCAAUCAGGAAAACAAGCAGGGAGGAUCCAGGUUUUGCAAGGCCUGAAGCCUGCACACUAGGGAGCCCCAUGCUCUGUGAAGGAGAGAACAGUGAUAAGAAGAAGAUAAUGAUUCAGCAGCUUUGCAAACAUUGUUUGGUGAAUAAACAGCCCCGUUCAGUGCACCGGUUUCUUCCUCCCAUCAUGGGACAGGUGGAAUGUGAUCUGAGAUGCCAGCCUUGGUCAGCUGGAGGGUUGUUCAGCUGCCUCGUGACUCCUCCUCGGUAAGAGUGAAAGAG
rnacentral:lncRNA from 1 species